ensembl:lncRNA
GCCCAGGAAGUCUUCCUUCAGGCCAGCCAGCUUUUCUAGAAGGUUCUCCAGGGAGUCAGUCCCAGGGCUCUGCCUCUGGAGUCUCUGCGCUUCCCUCACUUGCCUCUAGAUGGAAGAUUUCCUCACCUGGUGCCCAACAGGCUCCCCCUGCGGCCACAUCCAGCAAACCUGUGGAUGCUAGAAUUCUCAGAACCAAAUGCAGCCCUUAUCUUCUGCCGCAAAGCGUGACAGGCUUGUGUGUGGCUGUUAUCAAGCAUCAUUUGCUAUGUCCGUUUUUGGGGACAGAGAGGAGGACACAGGGUCCCUGCCUGAGUCUAGAGGAGGAGACAGGAAAUAGAUGUGACCAUGCAGGGUGGCAGAUUCUUUUACUGCUGAGCCA